rnacentral:rRNA from 1 species
UACGGAGGGGGCUAGCGUUGUUCGGAAUUACUGGGCGUAAAGCGCACGUAGGCGGCUUUGCAAGUUAGAGGUGAAAGCCCAGGGCUCAACCCUGGAAUUGCCUUUAAAACUGCAUCGCUAGAAUUGUGGAGAGGUAAGUGGAAUUCCGAGUGUAGAGGUGAAAUUCGUAGAUAUUCGGAAGAACACCAGUGGCGAAGGCGACUUACUGGACACAUAUUGACGCUGAGGUGCGAAAGCGUGGGGAGCAAUCAGG